UACGUAGGGGGCAAGCGUUGUCCGGAUUUAUUGGGCGUAAAGCGCUCGCAGGUGGUUCGUUGCGUCGUGCGUGAAAGACCCCGGCUCAACUGGGGGAUGUCGUGCGAUACGGGCGGACUGGAGGCCAGUAGGGGGAUGCGGAAUUCCGGGUGUAGUGGUGGAAUGCGUAGAGAUCCGGAGGAACACCAGCGGCGAAGGCGGCAUCCUGGACUGGUCCUGACACUCAUGAGCGAAAGCGUGGGGAGCGAUCCGG
rnacentral:rRNA from 1 species